rnacentral:rRNA from 1 species
CAGUAGCCGGACGUUGAGAGGUUGGACGGCCCACAUUGGGACUGAGACACGGCCCAGACUCCUACGGAAGGCAGCAG